rnacentral:tRNA from 1 species
GCCUGGCUGGCUCAGUUGGAGGAGCGUGUGAUUCUUGAUCGCGGGGUCAUAAGUUCGAGCCCCAUGUUGGGCA